GAUCCUGGCUCAGGAUGAACGCUAGCGGCAGGCUUAACACAUGCAAGUCGAAGGGCAUCGAGGGAAGUGCUUGCACUUUCUGUCGGCGACUGGCGCACGGGUGAGUACACGUAUGCAACCUGCCCCCUGCAGGGGGACAACUUUCCGAAAGGAAGGCUAAUCCCGCGUAUAUUCCGAGGAGGCAUCUCUUCGGGAGGAAAGAUUCAUCGGCAGGGGAUGGGCAUGCGGCGCAUUAGGCAGACGGCGGUGUAACGGACCACCGUACCGACGAUGCGUAGGGGUUCUGAGAGGAAGGUCCCCCACACUGGUACUGAGACACGGUCCAAACUCCUACGGGAGGCAGCAGUGAGGAAUAUUGGUCAAUGGGCGAGAGCCUGAACCAGCCAAGUAGCGUGCAGGAUGACGGCCCUAUGGGUUGUAAACUGCUUUCAGUCGGGAAUAAUUCGUCGGUCGUGACCGACGUUGCAGGUACCGUCAUAAGAAGGACCGGCUAAUUCCGUG
rnacentral:rRNA from 1 species